rnacentral:rRNA from 1 species
CUACAUAGGGGGCGAGCGUUAUCCGGAUUUAUUGGGCGUAAAGGGUGCGUAGGCGGUAAAUUAAGUCUAAGGUUAAAGUGCAGGGCUCAACCCUGUGAUGCCUUAGAAACUGGUUUACUUGAGUUUGGUAGAGGUAAGUGGAACUCCAUGUGUAGCGGUAAAAUGCGUAAAUAUAUGGAAGAACACCAGUGGCGAAGGCGGCUUACUGGGCCACAACUGACGCUGAGGCACGAAAGCGUGGGGAGCAAACAGGAUUAGAUACCCUGGUAGUCCACGCUGUAAACGAUGAAUACUAAGUGUUGGAAAAAUCCAGUGCUGAAGUUAACGCAUUAAGUAUUCCGCCUGAGUAGUACGUACGCAAGUAUGAAACUCAAAUGAAUUGGCGGGG